rnacentral:rRNA from 1 species
UAGGGAAUCUUCCGCAAUGGGCGAAAGCCUGACGGAGCAACGCCGCGUGAGUGAUGAAGGUCUUCGGAUCGUAAAACUCUGUUAUUAGGGAAGAACAAAUGUGUAAGUAACUAUGCACGUCUUUACGGUACCUAAUCAGAAAGCCACGGCUAACUACGUGCCAGCAGCCGCGGUAAUACGUAGGUGGCAAGCGUUAUCCGGAAUUAUUGGGCGUAAAGCGCGCGUAGGCGGUUUUUUAAGUCUGAUGUGAAAGCCCACGGCUCAACCGUGGAGGGUCAUUGGAAACUGAAAAACUUGAGUGCAGAAGAGGAAAGUGGAAUUCCAUGUGUAGCGGUGAAAUGCGCAGAGAUAUGGAGGAACACCAGUGGCGAAGGCGACUUUAUGGUCUGUAACUGACGCUGAUGUGCGAAAGCGAGGGGAUCAAACCGG